AUUAUAAGAAAAAGAGUAUGUGUUCUAAGAGUAUCAAAUAAUCUUUUCACAGGAUAUCAACUUAAAAACUUACAUGUGAUUAGAUAUAUGAUUUUAGGAUAGAUAAUUUAGUUAUCUCUUACGAGUUACCCUAAAAUAUUUAGAGGAGAAUUGGGAUGGAUAUGUACUUUUAUAGAUAAUGAAAGGGAAUCCCCAUCUGCAUGGGAAGAUAAGUUCACAUGCAAAAUUCAUAUAUAAUUUCAAUAUAGUAAGGAGGCAACAGGCAAGAGUACAAAUUAAGUCCAUGGACAAUGAGUUUUCAGUGAGUGGUA
rnacentral:misc_RNA from 1 species